UACGAAGGGGGCUAGCGUUGCUCGGAUUGACUGGGCGUAAAGGGCGCGUAGGCGGUUUGUACAGUCAGACGUGAAAUUCCUGGGCUCAACCUGGGGGCUGCGUUUGAUACGUGCAGACUUGAGUUCGGAAGAGGGUCGUGGAAUUCCCAGUGUAGAGGUGAAAUUCGUAGAUAUUGGGAAGAACACCGGUGGCGAAGGCGGCGACCUGGUCCGAUACUGGACGCUGAGGCGCGAAAGCGUGGGGAGCAAACAGG
rnacentral:rRNA from 1 species